GAGCACAGUUGCUAGAGCAUGAGACUCUUAAUCUCAGGAUUUUGGGUUCGAGCUCCACGUUGGACA